rnacentral:misc_RNA from 1 species
CUUCCGUAGGGUGAACCUGCGGAAGGAUCAUUACUGAGUGCGGGCUGCCUCCGGGCGCCCAACCUCCCACCCGUGAAUACCUAACACUGUUGCUUCGGCGGGGAACCCCCUCGGGGGCGAGCCGCCGGGGACUACUGAACUUCAUGCCUGAGAGUGAUGCAGUCUGAGUCUGAAUAUAAAAUCAGUCAAAACUUUCAACAAUGGAUCUCUUGGUUCCGGCAUCGAUGAAGAACGCAGCGAACUGCGAUAAGUAAUGUGAAUUGCAGAAUUCAGUGAAUCAUCGAGUCUUUGAACGCACAUUGCGCCCCCUGGCAUUCCGGGGGGCAUGCCUGUCCGAGCGUCAUUGCUGCCCAUCAAGCCCGGCUUGUGUGUUGGGUCGUCGUCCCCCCCCGGGGGACGGGCCCGAAAGGCAGCGGCGGCACCGUGUCCGGUCCUCGAGCGUAUGGGGCUUUGUCACCCGCUCGACUAGGGCCGGCCGGGCGCCAGCCGACGUCUCCAACCAUUUUUCUUCAGGUUGACCUCGGAUCAGGUAGGGAUACCCGCUGAACUUAAGCAUAUCAAUAAGCGGAGGAA